rnacentral:rRNA from 1 species
GACGAACGCUGGCGGCGUGCUUAACACAUGCAAGUCGCACGAAGUGGCGAACGGGUGAGUAAUACGUGGGUAACCUGCCCUCCUUGUUGGGAUAAUCCUUGGAGACGGGGUCUAAUACCCACUUUAGGGGGAUGGGCUCGCGGCCUAUCUGCUUGUUGGGGGGGUGAUGGCCUACCAAGGCGGUGACGGGUUGCCGGCCUGAGAGGGUGACCGGCCAUAUGGGGACUGAGAGACGGCCCAGAGUGGUACGGGAGGCAGCAAUGGGGGAAUGUGCACAAUGGGCGAGAGCCUGAGGCGGGGACGCCGAGUGGGGGAUGAAGGCUUUCAGGUUGUAAACCUCUGUCGCUGUCGAACGGGUACGUGGGGAGGAAGCCCCGGCAAACUACGUGCCAGAGCCGCGGUAAUUC